ensembl:lncRNA
ACGAGGAGCCGCUUCACAUGUGCUCUCUGUACCUAGUUACCCUCUUGGUAAUCAGUCUCGGAAAAGUUUUCUUUGACUCCCUGCCUGCGAGGGCCUCUGUCCUGGCAAGGGGGCAGAGGGUCAUUAGGCUUCGCUCCCCUCGCCUCCUCCUCCUCACUGGGAAAAGAAGUUGAGGUCCUAAAACAACAGAGGAGAGAGGAGCAUAUUGUUUUUGGCCUACCCUUUCCCUCUUAGGCCUGUUUUAUGUAGCCUUGUUUUUAUAUUCUGGCCCAGUGGCCAGGAAAAUUCUUUUUCUCCCUGAAGAAAUUCUGAGAGACAGCAGGGAGCUCAGUUCUGUUCCAAAAGCUGGUGGGGACUUUGUUCCUUAACUCCAAGGAAUGAGUUGAGUGAGGGAAUUUCAGCCACCAUGGCGAGUUGGUAGAGGAAGGAGGCCACUGACUGCCCAGUCCCCGAUGGGUUUCCUCUGCCUGCCUUGAGGAUUUGCCACCAUAGCCAGAGUCCUCAGAGUGACCGCCUCAGGACCACCCCUCCUGUUGUGGGCGUGGGUAGGCUGAUGAGAGAUUUGCCCUCAGAUCUCUUCUCUCAUCCCACUAAUGACUUCAGUUCAAGAUGCUGACACAUGUUUAAGCCCUUCAGCUGUUUUCCAAUUCAGCAAGCACUUACUGGUUGUCCACCCUUUCCCUGGCACUGUCCUAGGAACACAAGCGACUCAAAGAUGAAGAAAAGACACUUCUUGCCUUUACGGAAUUUAUGGUCCAGUGGGUGGCGGUGAUGGGUCCUCACAUAGAGAAGGACUAUAAAGACGAUAAAAGAAGGGGCUCAAGCAAUUCAGAGCUAGGGGAAACCACAACUGGUUGGGCUAAAAACGAGACCAGUGGACUUGUGAGGAGGAGCAAGGAGGAAUAGCUCAAUGUGAGAGCUUGGUGUCUAGGGGACAGUGAGUUGUCCAUUUGGCUCCUGGGAAGGGUUCUGGUAGGGGCAGGGUGGAGAGGUAGGUGGGGGCCACUUGUGGAGGACUUGAAUGCUGGAUUAAAGGUUUGGCUUGAUUGGACAAUGGGAGCCAAUGAAGGUCUCUGGAUUUCCAAGAGUAAGAAACACACUCUUCCAUAUUUCAUUACAAAAUUAUUUUUCUUGAAGAGAGCUGAGUUUCCCCUCAAGCUUCACACACUCAGCAAGAACCUUGUAAUUAUAUAUUUAUUUGAGUGAUCAUUAUUUAAUUUCUGUCUCCAAUAGCGGCUGUCCAUGCCACAGCUCCCCAAACUAGUACACCUCAAAGUCUGCCCAAGGGCGUCCCUGCCACUAGCCAAGGAGGUCCCGUUGGCACCAGACCAGUCUCCCUGCUCCCUCUGGCUUGCCUUCGUACGUGGUCUUGCCUUACAAAGGCAGUGUUGGUGCCCUGGACUGCGGGGUGACUGGGUGGUCAGGGUCUCCCUCCACACCUCUUUGUCGCCUUUCUUCUCCCAGCUCUUCCCACUUCUGCUUCUUCCAGGGCUUGGGCUGAGUUUUUGUACUUCCAUGGAGGCACAGCUAGAAGGGAAAGCGCCAUCGUGCCAGUAGCAUUUGGCUGAUGUUCAGGUGUGCAUCUCCCCAGCUCAGGAUGCUCCUCCCUCUUCACCUAGUUAACCCAGCUCAGCCUUCAGGUCUCAGCUUCAAGGUCAUGUCCCCAAAGAGGCUCUCCCUGACCUUAGUUCUAAAUAAGGGUUCCUUGUUACAGCCUCUCUGUAUGCACUCCAAAACACUCUGCUUUUCCUUUAUUGCUCCUACCACAAUCUAUGAGCACACAUAGAUUU